AUCGUUGCUGAAGUCAAUGUUGUAAUGGUGAAUCGGGAUUUUUUUUAAUGAAGUGGGUUUGAUUACUCUUGACUGUUUUGUGAAAUCGAGUUACGUCUGUGAUUGAAGAAUUAAAAGGGUGUCUAUAGGAUUGAGUAUGCGGAGUGAAUGAAAUUUAUUGGGUUAAUCUAACAAGACAGUCACUGGAUACAAGAUCGUAAGUACAAAGCGGUAUCG
rnacentral:lncRNA from 1 species